rnacentral:lncRNA from 1 species
GCAUUUUGAAUUUAUGAUUUCUUUAUUUUAAGUUUCUAAAUUUUCUAUUUUGUUAAUGUUACUUUAUUAAUUUGUUUAUUAGUUGUGAAAUAAGAAAGUUAUAUGAACGGUUCAAUAUAAACGGUUUAAUAACGAUUGAACCGGUCCGACCGGUUGACCCUUGAACCAGUAGCCACACCGGUUCGACCUCCGGUCCGGUUCUUAAAACAUUGCUUGAAUGUAUUUUGAGCCAAGUACAUUGUACAUAUGCCAAACCGUAUAAGUAAAUACGGGAAGGGAAAAAAUUGGUUCCUAACAUAAUUGUUGAGCUGUUUU